UACAGAGGUCUCAAGCGUUGUUCGGAUUCAUUGGGCGUAAAGGGUGCGUAGGCGGCGCGGUAAUUCGGGUGUGAAAUCUUGGAGCUUAACUCCGAAACUGCAUUCGAUACUGCCGUGCUUGAGGACUGGAGAGGAGACUGGAAUUUACGGUGUAGCGGUGAAAUGCGUAGAUAUCGUAAGGAAGACCAGUGGCGAAGGCGGGUCUCUGGACAGUUCCUGACGCUGAGGCACGAAGGCCAGGGGAGCAAACGGG
rnacentral:rRNA from 1 species